GUAGGUGGUUCAAUAAGCGAAUAGUGAAAGCUGGUGGCUCAACCAUUCAGAUUAUUAUUCGAACUGUUGAACUCGAGAGCAGAAGAGGUAGCNUGGAAUUUCUAGUGUAGGAGUGAAAUCCGUAGAUAUUAGAAGGAACACCGAUGGCGUAGGCAGGCUACUGGGCUGUUUCUGACACUGAGGCACGAAAGCGUGGAGAGCGAACCGGAUUAGAUACCCGGGUAGUCCACGCCGUAAACGAUGGAUACUAGCUGUUUGGGGUAUCGACCCCCUGAGUAGCGAAGCUAACGCGUUAAGUAUCCCGCCUGUGGAGUACGAUCGCAAGAUUAAAACAUAAAGGAAUUGACGGGGACCCGCACAAGCGGUGGAUCAUGUUCUUUAAUUCGAUGAUAACCGAUAAACCUUACCAGGUCUUGACAUCCUUGGAAUCUUUCAGAAAUGAGAGAGUGCUUUUUAAGAGCCAAGUGACAGGUGAUGCAUGGCCGUCGUCAGCUCGUGUCGUGAGAUGUUUGGUUAAGUCCAUCAACGAGCGCAACCCUUGUCAGUAGUUGUAUUUUUCUACUGAGACUGCCCCGGUAACGGGGAGGAAGGAGGGGAUGACGUCAGGUCAGUAUUUCCCUUACGUCCUGGGCUANAAACGUGAUACAAUGGCUAGUACAAUGCGCAGCGAAGCCGCGAGGUGA
rnacentral:rRNA from 1 species